UGGGGGGGGGCCCUAUCAUGCAGUAGACGCUGAGAGAGGAGCUUGCUCUUCUUGGAUGAGUUGCGAACGGGUGAGUAACGCGUAGGUAACCUGCCUUGUAGCGGGGGAUAACUAUUGGAAACGAUAGCUAAUACCGCAUAACAAUGGAUGACACAUGUCAUUUAUUUGAAAGGGGCAAUUGCUCCACUACAAGAUGGACCUGCGUUGUAUUAGCUAGUAGGUGAGGUAAUGGCUCACCUAGGCGACGAUACAUAGCCGACCUGAGAGGGUGAUCGGCCACACUGGGACUGAAACACGGCCCAGACUCCUACGGGAGGCAGCAUUAGGGAAUCUUCGGCAAUGGGGGCAACCCUGACCGAGCAACGCCGCGUGAGUGAAGAAGGUUUUCGGAUCGUAAAGCUCUGUUGUAAGUCAAGAACGGGUGUGAGAGUGGAAAGUUCACACUGUGACGGUAGCUUACCAGAAAGGGACGGCUAACUACGUGCCAGCAGCGGCGGGAGUACGUAGGUCCCGAGCGUUGUCCGGAUUGAUUGGGCGUAAAGCGAGCUCAGGCGGUUUGAUAAGUUGGAAAGUAAAAGGGUGUGGGCUCAACCAUAGUGUCGCUUUUGGAACUGUCAAACUUUGGGGUGCAGA
rnacentral:rRNA from 1 species